AACGAACGCUGGCGGCGUGCCUAACACAUGCAAGUCGUGCGAGAAAGUUCCUUCGGGAGCGAGUAAAGCGGCGCACGGGUGAGUAACACGUAGGUAACCUGCCCCCCAGUCUGGAACAACUAGAGGAAACUCUAGCUAAUGCCGGAUGAGACCACGAUCCCUUCGGGGGUUGCGGCCAAAGAUGGCCUCUACUUGUAAGCUAUCGCUGAGGGAUGGGCCUGCGGGCCAUUAGCUUGUUGGUGAGGUAACGGCUCACCAAGGCUGUGAUGGCUAGCUGGUCUGAGAGGAUGACCAGCCACACUGGGACUGAGACACGGCCCAGACUCCUACGGGAGGCAGCAGUGGGAAUAUUGCGCAAUGGGCGAAAGCCUGACGCAGCGACGCCGCGUGGGUGAUGAAGGCCUUCGGGUCGUAAAGCCCUGUCGCAGGGGAAGAAUAAGCAUCGGUAUAAUACGCCGGUGCCCUGACGGUACCCUGCAAGAAAGCACCGGCUAACUCCGUG
rnacentral:rRNA from 1 species